AUUUAUAUAGUUUAACAAUUUUAAAACCCCUUAUUUUCAAUAAGGAAAUAAGAAUAUAUUCUUUAUAAAUA
rnacentral:tRNA from 1 species